CACCCGAGACUCAGUGAAAUUGAACUCGCUGUGAAGAUGCAGUGUACCCGCGGCAAGACGGAAAGACCCCGUGAACCUUUACUAUAGCUUGACACUGAACAUUGAGCCUUGAUGUGUAGGAUAGGUGAGUCGCUGUCGCUGUUACGGAACGCGUUAAAGAGCGCCAAAUUCGAUUGUCCGAAAGAAGCCAAAAUGGAUUUCAGUAUGGUGGAUAUCGCCUUUUGGCAGGAAACCGAACCCGCUUUUCGGGC
rnacentral:rRNA from 1 species